rnacentral:rRNA from 1 species
UACAGAGGUCUCGAGCGUUGUUCGGAUUCAUUGGGCGUAAAGGGUGCGUAGGUGGCUAGGUAAGUCGGAUGUGAAAUCCCGGGGCUCAACCCCGGAACUGCAUUCGAUACUGCCUGGCUAGAGUACUGGAGAGGAGAUUGGAAUUUACGGUGUAGCAGUGAAAUGCGUAGAGAUCCGGAAGAACACCGGUGGCGAAGGCGGCCUGCUGGGCAGUAGCUGACACUGAGGCGCGACAGCGUGGGGAGCAAACAGG